rnacentral:rRNA from 1 species
GACGGAGGAUGCAAGUGUUAUCCGGAAUCACUGGGCGUAAAGCGUCUGUAGGUGGUUUAAAAAGUCCACUGUUAAAAAUUGAAGCUUAACUUCAAAGAUGCAAUGGAAACUUUUAAACUUGAGUAUGGUAGGGGUAGAGGGAAUUUCCAGUGGAGCGGUGAAAUGCGUAGAUAUUGGAAAGACCACCAAUGGCGAAGGCACUCUACUGGGCCAUUACUGACACUGAGAGACGAAAGCUAGGGGAGCAAAUGG